CACUGACACACCAUAGGCAAGAGGUUGCGAGCAGAAGGAAUCUGGGUUAAUGAGUAUCUUGUGCUGGGACUCUGGGCCCGUCCUCCUGGGCAGUCAGAGGACGCAGCAUGGAGAGGGAAUGUACUGGCCUUCUGUGUCAGCUUCGAAGGAAAGAACUGACAGGCUGCCCACAGAUCUGCUGUCUUCUGGAGACAGACACAGAAGCCCCACUGCACUGUCCCAUCGUGCUCUGCGAGGAGAGUGCACUGAGCCUUUGCAUACCCCAAAGUUACCCAAGGGAACAGGCUGGCCCUGAGACCCCCCCAGAGGCCCAGAAGGAGCAGAGGUCGCUGGGGAGCUGCACGGAUCAUGGAGCUUCAGGGUGACAGGUUUCCUUUAUAUGACAAGCAGAACAUAGUGUAACAAAGUGACAAGAAUUUGCCAUUCAGAAAAGCAUCAACAGGACACAUCCGUGCGAAUUCCUCUGUAUAACAAGACCUUGGCCAUAAUUCAGCUGUCAUCAUAGAGAAAUGCACAUCUCCCAUCCCCUGGCUCAGUGGUUUUAUAAGUCUAAGAAAACAAAAUCACGUGGAUUACGGAAAGCCUUUUCUGCAGCACUCAAUGGCGUAUUUUACGGAACAUGCACUGGGCAUCCUAGUAGGCGGGCAUCGCUUUGCCAGGAGGUUACAUUGCCAAAAAGUAGGUUAAAAAUCAUUUGUUUUAGGGUUUUCCCCCCAUUAUUCUAAAUUUGAGUUAUGACCUCAAACUUUGCAAACAAAUUAACAAAUUUUUUUUUCCUCCAUUACAAUUUGGACAUAAUGACCUUUUCCCUCUGUUGAUGAUUCAGCACUUUGUGACAAUAAUAUCAGGCAGGUGACAGUGGAAGCUGAGAAUGUAAGUUUCAAUUCUUAUUCAGGACUGGAGACUCACCCACUGUCCAUCGGGAUGGCAAAUUUGGCAAACGCAUAAUGUACAAGAGCAAUAAGAAAAUUAAAGACUCCCUGUUCAUGAUUCCCUUCGGGGAUUGUUGAUUUACCUAAGGCUGUUACGCUUGUCAGGGCUGGUUGGUGUUUGUUAAACUAGGAAAACGGAUACUAUUGGAUGUUUAUCAACAUUAAAUGUGGUAAAAAAAGAAGCAACUGAACUAAAAAAACAGAGUAGGAUGGAAGAGACUAGGGUACAGCUCUUCUAAAUUCUGUGUCUCAGCUACUGCACACCAUUGGUCCAAACCUGCCCAUUUGAAGUGAUCACUUGUAAGGGAAUUUCUUUUAGAUACAUGCGAUCGUGUAUUAAAAGUCACAGGCUGCUCUAAAGGCCAAACCUUCGUAACACAGCUGUGACAUUUAGUGCUGAUUUACUUCUCCGUUCUGGUUGACAUAAAUGUGGAGAAGGAGUAAUCUGGAAUUCUGUUCUGGCCAUACCAUAAACGAGGGUAGGAAACGGAAAAAGAUUAGCAAGUGAAGGCACAGUAAUCAGAGUGGGAGGGUUUCUUCAGAAUAAACACAUGCGGAGCAGCACCUGCCUCACAGUGACCUGUAUUUAAUCUGCAGGUCGGUUUCAGGGGGAGGAAAGCCAGUGAUUCAUGCCUUUGCAAGCUGAGGAUAAGCAGGACAGCCAGGCAGACAGAAGCCUUUGCUAAUGUCGAGUGAGCAAAGCACUUUCCUUCUCCUUCUCUCUUACACACACACAUGUACUACCCCACCCUCCACAUAUCAGAAAGUCAUGGAUGAUUGUCACACUCAAAAUAAAUAUCUUGGCUAUGGCCGCAGAUGGGCAUAAGCAAACAGAAUGGAGCAGUUGUCUGACCAGUAUUCACCGCCAUGGGAUAUGGAUCCAUCCAGAAAUUCUGCUUCGUGAGGUGUCAUUAAAGGACAAGGAGACAAAACGGAAAGUUCCCUGCUCACAGCCUUCUGCCAAUCAUCAGUCCCUGGUUCUCGCCGGAGCCCACCCCGACCUUUGCAAGGUUUCUUUCCACCGAAGCUAUGGACAGGAGAACACUGCACAGCUCUAGGCUGACCUUCCCACAAAUGUACACGCCAGGCUUUUCUUGAAGUUGAAAUGAAGAAUAUUCUCAGGUUGCAGGGUUCGUAUCUGAGGAGCUGGAAGGAGACAACUUAUGGUUGACCAGCUCAGCAGUUCUUGUUGUGGUCGACGGAAGUCAUAUGCUAAGCAUCCGGGGUCUUGUAGACACCCCAUACUCAUCUACUCUACGUGUCUACUGGUGGCGUGAUCUCCCUCACCACGCUGGCCCCCACAAAGCAUUCAGAACACACUACCAAGAAUACUGCUAGUAUCAUGAUCAUUACGAUUGCUGGUCAGAACGACUGCCACUCUUAUUUUUGUUGAUUAAUAUCCAGUAUCUAUGCCAUCUCCCUUGCACUGCAAGUGUCAUUCCUGGAAAUGAAAAUCCCAUUCAGGACAAAAUGCUAAACUUUGAUACUAUUUUAAAUGAAGAAAACAGGAAAAUUUCAUUCAUAUAGUUUAAUCCUUGAUGGCAAAACCAAGAUGCUUUUCCCAGCCAGUGCUCCAGAAAGUGCCUUAAGACAAAUCAUGACCCUGCUCUGUGUGGGCAGAGCGUGGCACAAACACAGCCACUGGACAGAGCUGCUGCCAGGUGACAGGAGCUAGAGUAGCAAGCGUUGUUCUAGCACCUGCUGCUGCUGAUCUGAUACAGGGCACUCGGUAUUUUUAAGACAGGACCUACUGACGUGAAUUCUUGAUCAUUCUGGAAAUUACAUGCAAAGGUUUAUAAAAAGGAUGUGAUAUUUCUUAAGAGAUGGUGGCAGAGUAAUUGUAACCCAUAAUCAAGACAGGGGCGUGGCGGGCCCCCACUUUGCCAAGGGCAGCUGUAGAGAUCACUAAGGAGGGUGGAGCUCUGGGAGCACCUACUCAGACUCUACACUUCCUGACAUUGAAGGCCUCCUGUGGCUGGUGGUGAACGAGCAUUGCUGAGGGUUUUGUGGGCCACAGAAAUGAGGGCAGUCAUUAGAAAACAAGAGAAUGUGGUGCACCUUUCAUUCCCAUGGGAAAGCUCUCCGGAAAACCCCUGGGAGGGGACUCCGGCAGGGUCACGGAUGUGCAGGAGAGUGGAGGAAACACAGAUGGCUACACGGAAAGAGCAUAUUGAUGCUGCAACCUCUGAGAGUCCUCCUCGGUUUUCCAACCCCAAAUCAAGCAGCCUGACAGGUCUAAGGCCAGGUCGGACAUUAAAAGCUGGAUCCCUAUAUAUCUCCUUCACAUUACUGCCUCACGAGCCGACAGAUGCCAACGGCCCGCUACCAGCCCAGGGCAGAUUUAAACUGGUGACCUCUAAUUGCAAUUCUCCAGCUCAGGUAGCUCUUUAAGUUAACGACUCUACUGGGUCUUUUAUCACUGUGCCCUACUUGAGAUCAACAAGGAUAGGGACAGAUGAAAUGGAUUAAAUACUCCCAAAGAAACUGAAGGAACUAUCUAAAGAAGGCAAGAGAAAUAUGCCCUGUGAAUGAUAAUGAUUCAUCAUGAACUUUGCUAUUUGACCUGUCACCCUCAAACACUGUUUGCAAGACCAGCAGCUGGAUAGUUCUCUACUAUGUAUAAGCAUUUAAAAAUACUUGCAGUUUAUAAGGAAAACUACUAUUCUGUAUGAACGGCACUGAAAUAAUUCUAAUAAAACUGUUGCUUAUUUUAUGCCAAGGACAAUAGUUGUAUCCAAUGUAGUCAGUUAAUAGAUUUGAUUUUAAUAUUAC